rnacentral:lncRNA from 1 species
AUUGGUAUGUUGCCACUAUGGCAUGUACAAAUGCAAUCGAAGGAAAAAUAAAUAGAUAAAUAAAUAAAUAACUUCUGAAACUAACAUUUACCCGAAACAAACUACACUUGGAAAAUAAAAAUAUACUUCUUAAAAUGUUCUGAUGACAAAUAAAAAUUAAAAAUCUGGCUUAGUGAAAGUCCAGCAGUCCAUAUUCUUCACAAACCCAAAAAAAAGCCUAGUGGCUGAUCACACCUCACGAGUCAAGGGUGAAACCGGCAGAGUUAGAAUGAGCAAAGUCCAGGCUAUCCAUCCAUCCCAUCAUACUUCAUCCAAACGUACCCCCACCCAUCCAUCCAUCCACAACUUCAUCCAUAUAAAACCCCAUUCAUGCAUUCAUUCAUGGCCCAGCCAAUCUUGAAGGAUCCUGGGAGCUAAGGUAGAGUAAGUGAAGUCACACGUGAUCACUCGGGCAAGCACAGAACCCAACAAUCCCUCACACACACACACACACACACACAGUCACUCGCACACACAGAGAGACAGACAGACAGUGGGCUCUGUUUCCCUUGCCUCACACACUCACAGACACUCUCACUCUCUGUCUGUCUGUCUGUCUCUCUCUCUCUCUUUCACUCACAUACCACUAAGUUUAAGGACUUGCAAGCCAGGCCAUCCUCCUUCUCACUCACUCACUCUCUCUCCUACAGCCUUUGCCUACAGCACAAGAGCUCUGGCAGUAGCAGAAGCAGCAGGAGCAGCAACCCUAUAUCAUCUCAAAUCAAAAAAGCCAUACAUAUGAAACAGAGGUAGUUUCAUCACCUGGAUGGUGAGGGAAAGCUUCGGAAGAAGAAGAAGAAGCCUGUUGCAUCAUGUGAAAGUUACCAUACAACUCUAUCACCACUGCCUCCACC